UACGGAGGGUGCAAGCGUUAUCCGGAUUCACUGGGUUUAAAGGGAGCGUAGGUGGGUCUGUAAGUCCGUGGUGAAAUCUCCGAGCUUAACUUGGAAACUGCCAUGGAUACUAUAGGUCUUGAAUAUUGUGGAGGUCAGCGGAAUAUGUCAUGUAGCGGUGAAAUGCUUAGAGAUGACAUAGAACACCAAUUGCGAAGGCAGCUGGCUACGCAUAUAUUGACACUGAGGCUCGAAAGCGUGGGGAUCAAACAGG
rnacentral:rRNA from 1 species